ACUCCUGCGGGAGGCAGCAGUGGGGAAUAUUGGACAAUGGGCGCAAGCCUGAUCCAGCCAUGCCGCGUGAGUGAUGAAGGCCCUAGGGUUGUAAAGCUCUUUCACCGGUGAAGAUAAUGACGGUAACCGGAGAAGAAGCCCCGGCUAACUUCGUGCCAGCAGCCGCGGUAAUACGAAGGGGGCUAGCGUUGUUCGGAUUUACUGGGCGUAAAGCGCACGUAGGCGGACUAUUAAGUCAGGGGUGAAAUCCCGGGGCUCAACCCCGGAACUGCCUUUGAUACUGGUAGUCUUGAGUUCGAGAGAGGUGAGUGGAAUUCCGAGUGUAGAGGUGAAAUUCGUAGAUAUUCGGAGGAACACCAGUGGCGAAGGCGGCUCACUGGCUCGAUACUGACGCUGAGGUGCGAAAGCGUGGGGAGCAAACAGGAUUAGAAACCCUUGUAGUCCCAUGAU
rnacentral:rRNA from 1 species